UGGCGCGGGCGCGGCGGUGGGCCUAGGGGUCGUCACUCCUGCAGCUGGCAGCCGCCGCUCGGCGCUUCCUGCCGCAUCUCUCUUGCCCGGCGGGCGCCCAUCCCGCCCCGCCCCGGCCCGUGGACCUGCAAACCGAGGCUCAGAGCGGAUUUGCCCUAGGGGCUUUCACGAGCUUAGCAGAGGGGUUCCCGGCGGGGUUCCCUGGGGUCACGGGGCGCGAUGAGCAGCGAAGAAAGGAGGCGAGGAGCUGCGUCCGGGCUGGGUGCUCUCUGAACGCGAGGAGGCGGGAUGCGCUCGCCGGGGUCCAUGAUGUGCUCGGCGCCCGUCCCUGGGCCCGGGAAUGCGGCCGCUGGGGAACCCGGGCCAGCGAAUUCGCCCGCGAUCUCCGCGGAUCCCAGGACUGCCAGCGCUUUGGCCCUAGAUGGACGGUGGGGAAUGGGGUAGGGGGCUCCGGAACCCCUAACGUGGAUUACUUGGUGCAUAUCGCCCGGGCAUGGAAGACCCACCACCUCGUCUCCACCCGUGGAUUGAUGCCUUCUGCCGAACUGGUCGCUUACCUGGAGGUGGAACCAGAGAUUUGUGGCUGCUGUGGGUAGGUGCUUCUGACGGGGAAAGAAGGACAAGAUGAAAGGCCUGGAAGGAAGGACCCAUAAAGGGCUGUUCUUCUUCGCCCACGCUUCCCACCAGGAACUUCUGUGGAGCCAGAGUUUGCCGCCAGGACCCCCACAGGACCUGGGUGAAACAGGACCAUCUCUUAAGAGGCAAGAGCUCUUGAUUUGAUUGAGGAUUCUUAUUUUGGAGAAUAAAGCAACUUCCAGAUUUGAGAAGACCUACAGUUGAAGAAGACACCAUUGUCCCGGAUCCCUUGUUCUUCCUUCGCGUGGGAACUGUUUCUUGGCGGGUGCCUGGUCUUAAGACUCCCCGACACUGGCCCCGGGGAAGCCAAGGACUUUCUGCCACACCCUUCCUCGCCCCCCACCUCCCACGUCCGCCGUGCCUUUGGACUCGGCAAUUCUUCUUGUUUGCUCCAUUAUCUUCCAGCCGGAUACAGAGUGAAUAGUUAACUACCCGCAGGUCAAUGGGGUCUUAAUUUUUGUUCCUGCUCCCUCUACAGAGGCCAGUGUCUGUGUGUUGCUACGCAAGCGGCCUUGGAAUUGCAUCCCUUCUCAUUGAUUUGGGAUCUGGCCCCCGCAGGUUCCAGAGCAAUGCGGGUCCAGGCAGAAAUUCUUCAGGCUCUCAGGAUGUUGGAGGGGGCGCUGGCUGCGAGCUGGACCAUGAAGGCUGGUGUUCCCCACAUUCAGCUUUCUUGGGUUCGGAUCAUAAGCAGGUGUAGAUCUGGAGAAGCAGAAAAUGAACGCAUUUUCUACUGACACCGAUGCACGGUCAGCGGUGAAGACCUUCUCCCAGCUGGCAUGUGGGUUCUGUGUCCAAACGUGGCGCUUCAUGGCAGAGUAUCCAGCCACCAGAGUUGGUGUGUCUUGAGGACUCGAAUUCUUGAGUGUGUGCUGGUGACACAGCCUUCUGACAGUCGAUGGGGCCUCACAAAACACAAGUCCUGCCUUUUCCUUUUCACUCUGUGGCCAUGAUACAUACGGCUAAAAACAUUUCCUAGAGAUCAGUCAUGGUUCAGUCGUGUCCAAAACGCAGAGCCAAAGAUGCAUUUUCUCUUUUCACAGCAAAUGGAUGACUUGCCUUCGGAAAAAGAAUGAAAGCCAGACAUUCUAUAUCUUUCCCGUGUUGUAGAUGAUGCAUUUGGAUGACCACUUUGUGACUUUGGUGUCUCAGAAGGGAAGCAGUGGGGUCCUUGGCAUUUCAGAUUCACCACAAAACAGAUGAGGAGAACUUCUGGCGGAUGGUUUGUGCUUUUGAAAUGGGAGGCUUGUUUGUGGGCUUUUACUUUCCUUCCUUGACCUGCAGACACCUCGUUGCAUUAGAUUCCUUUGGGUUUUAAGAAGCAGAGACUUGCUGAUACUGCUCCGUACGUGCUGGUUUGUUUCGAGUUGCCAUGGCCGUAAAGUAGAAAGGAAGCAGCCUGCCGAGGCGCUCUCCACCUAGGCCUGCCCAAGAAGCCCAAGUCAUUCCAGAUAGCCAGGGAUAGCAGAACCGAACCACCCUGGCCAUCUUGAUCUUCUGUUUGCACCAGCAUCCACUGUUCCCAGGAUCCUGCCAUGGUGAUGAGCUGAGGGUGACUCAGUUGGCCCAGGACUGAGGGGUUUCCUGGGAUGCAGGACUUUUUAGUGCUAAACCGAGGACAGUCCUAAGCAAACAGGAACAACCAGUCACCCUACUGGGUGACUCGAGGACCCUGCCUCUCUUCUGCUUUCCCUGCUGUGACUGGCUGAUGCUCCUGAUGGGUCUGGCCAGUCGCCAUUCAAAACUCUUGUGUCUGGCAACUUCAUUGGCCACUGGGCUACCUAUAGAUGGGUGCCCUUGGACCCAGCGCCAACCCAUCUUGACCAAAUUUGUUGUUUCCAGGGUCAUAGGGUUGCAUAAUCUAGAAUAAAAGCCUGGCUGUAAACAACCAGCUGAGACCACUUCCUUCAGAAGACUGCUGUGGACAGAUGGCCCUGGGCAGGCAUUCAAGGUAAAAUGAGUGAGUCAGGCCACACGCUUCCCAAAGCCUCUGCCAGUGCUGCCAUCCACAGGGCUGCCAUAUUGGAUGCAGUUCAUGACAAAGGAUUUGCUACUUUUUGUUCUCUCUGGCUCUCCUCCUGCCUUCCCCUCAGCUUGCUCCAAGAUCAUGUAGCCCCCUUUCCUGUCUCAACCUUCUAGAGAGAGGAACACGACCAUUGAUCGUUUCACCAGGUGAACGUUCUCUGUGAAACAGGAAUGAUUCCCUCCCAGUUUAUCUCUUUGGAAAAGUCAUCUGCAUCUACGUACACGUACCUGCACGCACUGACGUGUAGUAACCUGCGUAUAUAUACACAUCCCCCGUUCGUGUAAUAUACACAACCUGUAAAGAAUUUUACAACGGCACAAAGCCCACUACAGAUGAUAAUACCCGGGCCCCCAAGAUGCAUGCCCGUGCCUGGGAGGGCGACCAGAGUGCCCGCUUUGUGGGGGACUGUCCUGAUUUGAAAACCCAAAGUUCUGUUAGGGGAGCAUUGCCUGAAACCACCCACCUUGGCCAGGCAUGAUAAUAGCCAGUUGCAUGAGUGAUGCACAACAGGAAGCCCUAACAAGGAAUAUGAUGCUGCCCUGAAGACUAACUAGAAGGAUUUGGGAGGGGCCAGUAGGAGGGAGGAGAUGACGAACCUCCUAGGAUCGUUGAGGCUGGAAUCCAUCCUGGCUGAGAGAUGCACGUGCCCCCAGGAAGGACCCGGAGCCAGACCAAGUACGGGCCAAACAAGAUGAUUGGCCAGAGACAACCUGGAAACUAACCCCUUCCCAUAAAACCAGAGAGUGCAAGCCACGUGGCAAGCAGUUCUCCUGGGCUCCCUCAGCCUGCUGUUCCCUUCCGGGCGUCCCUUCCCAAUAAAAUCUCUUGCUUUGUCAGCA